rnacentral:lncRNA from 1 species
UUGGCUGGGCUAAAACGCAUCUUACUAUACCCAAUCUCUCUUCAGGGUCAACUUCUUCCAAAGUACUAGAUUCUUCAUAAACUUCGUCUAACUCAGUAUCUGCUACGUAUACUUAUUCAUCUCCUAAAGAAUUUCAAAGUUCUCUUCUUUGGAUUUUUCAAUGUGUAGAGCUCGAGAUGGGCACUGAUUAGAGAUGUAACCUAACCCAUUGCACUUGAAGCAUCGGGUUCCC